AGAGUUUGAUCCUGGCUCAGGAUGAACGCUGGCGGCGUGCCUAACACAUGCAAGUCGAGCGAUCUUCUUCGAAAGAGAGCGGCGGACGGGUGAGUAACGCGUGGGUAACCUGCCCUGUACACACGGAUAACAUACCGAAAGGUAUGCUAAUACGAGAUAAUAUACUUUUAUCGCAUGGUAGAAGUAUCAAAGCUCCGGCGGUACAGGAUGGACCCGCGUCUGAUUAGCUAGUUGGUAAGGUAACGGCUUACCAAGGCGACGAUCAGUAGCCGACCUGAGAGGGUGAUCGGCCACAUUGGAACUGAGACACGGUCCAAACUCCUACGGGAGGCAGCAGUGGGGAAUAUUGCACAAUGGGCGAAAGCCUGAUGCAGCAACGCCGCGUGAGCGAUGAAGGCCUUCGGGUCGUAAAGCUCUGUCCUCAAGGAAGAUAAUGACGGUACUUGAGGAGGAAGCCCCGGCUAACUACGUGCCAGCAGCCGCGGUAAUACGUAGGGGGCUAGCGUUAUCCGGAAUUACUGGGCGUAAAGGGUGCGUAGGUGGUUUCUUAAGUCAGAGGUGAAAGGCUACGGCUCAACCGUAGUAAGCCUUUGAAACUGAGAAACUUGAGUGCAGGAGAGGAGAGUAGAAUUCCUAGUGUAGCGGUGAAAUGCGUAGAUAUUAGGAGGAAUACCAGUUGCGAAGGCGGCUCUCUGGACUGUAACUGACACUGAGGCACGAAAGCGUGGGGAGCAAACAGGAUUAGAUACCCUGGUAGUCCACGCCGUAAACGAUGAGUACUAGCUGUCGGAGGUUACCCCCUUCGGUGGCGCAGCUAACGCAUUAAGUACUCCGCCUGGGAAGUACGCUCGCAAGAGUGAACUCAAAGGAAUUGA
rnacentral:rRNA from 1 species